rnacentral:rRNA from 1 species
UACAGAGGGUGCAAGCGUUGUUCGGAAUUAUUGGGCGUAAAGGGCGCGUAGGCGGUUCGGCAAGUCUCUAGUGAAAUCUCAGGGCUCAACUCUGAGUCUGCUGGGGAAACUGCCGGGCUUGAGUGUGGGAGAGGAGAGUGGAAUUCCCGGUGUAGCGGUGAAAUGCGUAGAUAUCAGGAGGAACACCAAUUGCGAAGGCAGCUCGCUGGGACGUAACUGACGCUGAGACGCGAAAGCGUGGGGAGCAAACAGG